AAAGUCGUAACAAGGUUUCCGUAGGUGAACCUGCGGAAGGAUCAUUACUGAGCUCAUACCUACCCGGUAGAACUCCACCCUUGAAUACCAAUAUUGUUGCUUUGGCGGGCCGCCUCGGCUACUGGCUUCGGCUGGUAAGUGCCCGCCAGAGAACCCUAAACUUUGAAUCACAGUGUCGUCUGAGUACUAUGUAAUAGUUAAAACUUUCAACAACGGAUCUCUUGGUUCUG
rnacentral:misc_RNA from 1 species